CCCUUAGAUGUUCUGGGUCGCACGCGUGCUACACUGAGUGGAUCAGCGGGUCAGGUUGCGCGAAAGCGUUUCCUAAUCUUGAAAUCCGCUCGUGAUGGGGAUUGACGGUUGCAAUUUUCUGUCAUGAACGAGGAAUACCUUGUAAGCGCGAGUCAUCAUCCCGCGCUGAAUACGUCCCUGCCCUUUGUACACACCGCCCGUCGCUCCUACCGAUUGAGUGGUCCGGUGAGGCUUUGGGAUCUGAGCGGAAAGAGCGUUUCGCUCGUUCUGCCCGGAAAACUCAGUCGAACCUUAUCAUUUAGAGGAAGGAGAAGUCGUAACA
rnacentral:rRNA from 1 species